GUGAACGCUGGCGGUAGGCCUAACACCUGCAAGUCGAACGGCAGCACAGUAAGAGCUUGCUCUUACGGGUGGCGAGUGGCGGACGGGUGAGGAAUACAUCGGAAUCUACUUUUUCGUGGGGGAUAACGUAGGGAAACUUACGCUAAUACCGCAUACGACCUACGGGUGAAAGCAGGGGAUCUUCGGACCUUGCGCGAUUGAAUGAGCCGAUGUCGGAUUAGCUAGUUGGCGGGGUAAAGGCCCACCAAGGCGACGAUCCGUAGCUGGUCUGAGAGGAUGAUCAGCCACACUGGAGCUGAGACACGGUCCAGACUCCUACGGGAGGCAGCAGUGGGGAAUAUUGGACAAUGGGCGCAGGCCUGAUCCAGCCAUACCGCGUGGGUGAAGAAGGCCUUCGGGUUGUAAAGCCCUUUUGUUGGGAAAGAAAAGCAGCAGGUUAAUACCCCGCUGUUCUGACGGUACCCAAAGAAUAAGCACCGGCUAACUUCGUG
rnacentral:rRNA from 1 species